rnacentral:rRNA from 2 species
GUGCGAGACCGAUAGCGAACAAGUACCGUGAGGGAAAGAUGAAAAGAACUUUGAAAAGAGAGUUAAAGAGUACCUGAAACUGCUGAAAGGGAAGCGAAUCGUAUCCAGUGUCUAUAAUCUGCGGCAUAUUUCAUUGGCGGCAGUGUGCGUGCUUUUGCGUCGGAAGCGGCUUUUGUUGCUCCGUGCUUUUGCUGUGCGUGCUGUUGCUGGUGCCCUGUGUUGCGGUGGGACGUCAGAGUCAGUUCGUAUGCUGCGGGAAAUGGCCGCCGAGGAGGUAGGUCAGGACUUCGGUCUUGGCUGUUAUAUCUUGGUGGUUUGUUGUCGUGGUUGGGACUGAGGUGCCUACAAUGUGCUUUUGAGUGUGCCGGGUUCUCAUUUGGUGGACUGUUUGGAUAGCUUGCUAUGCUUGUGGUUUUUUCAUCGAGUGAUUGAGUCUGGUGGUAACUUGUUGCUGUUCGGGACUUUGA